rnacentral:rRNA from 1 species
AGUGAACGCUGGCGGUAGGCCUAACACAUGCAAGUCGAACGGCAGCACAGUAAGAGCUUGCUCUUACGGGUGGCGAGUGGCGGACGGGUGAGGAAUACAUCGGAAUCUACUUUUUCGUGGGGGAUAACGUAGGGAAACUUACGCUAAUACCGCAUACGACCUACGGGUGAAAGCAGGGGAUCUUCGGACCUUGCGCGAUUGAAUGAGCCGAUGUCGGAUUAGCUAGUUGGCGGGGUAAAGGCCCACCAAGGCGACGAUCCGUAGCUGGUCUGAGAGGAUGAUCAGCCACACUGGAACUGAGACACGGUCCAGACUCCUACGGGAGGCAGCAGUGGGGAAUAUUGGACAAUGGGCGCAAGCCGGAUCCAGCCAUACCGCGUGGGGGAAGAAGGCCUUCGGGUUGUAAAGCCCUUUUGGUGGGAAAGAAAAGCAGCAGGUUAAUACCCCGCUGUUCUGACGGUACCCAAAGAAUAAGCACCGGCUAACUUCG